rnacentral:misc_RNA from 1 species
UUUAUUCUCAAUCGAAAAUUUCUUUGGGAGGUUUCAGAAUGUCCGGCUACUGCUGCAUCAGGAAUACCAUCAGAAGCUAGUCCCCUCAGACCUAAUCCAAGUCUGGGGUUCACCUGUUCUGAUGGAGCAGAUAUACUCAAGCUGCUGCCUGCAUCAUAGUGGGUAGGAACACCAGGCCAUGCACUACCCUCUGAGCAAUGAAAGAAACUUGAACUUCCACUCAUAGAGGACUGUCCAAUAUGUCCCUCGACUGCCUUUCUUUUACAUGACUGACGGCGACCAUCCAAUGAAGAACAACCUGGUCUGCC